rnacentral:rRNA from 2 species
ACACAUGCAGUCGAGCGGAACGACGGGAGCUUGCUCCCGGGCGUCGAGCGGCGGACGGGUGAGUAACGCAUAGGAAUCUGCCCGGUAGUGGGGGAUAACCUGGGGAAACUCAGGCUAAUACCGCAUACGUCCUACGGGAGAAAGCAGGGGACCUUCGGGCCUUGCGCUAUCGGAUGAGCCUAUGCCGGAUUAGCUGGUUGGUGGGGUAACGGCUCACCAAGGCGACGAUCCGUAGCUGGUCUGAGAGGAUGAUCAGCCACAUCGGGACUGAGACACGGCCCGAACUCCUACGGGAGGCAGCAGUGGGGAAUAUUGGACAAUGGGCGCAAGCCUGAUCCAGCCAUGCCGCGUGUGUGAAGAAGGCCCUCGGGUUGUAAAGCACUUUCAGUGGGGAAGAAGGCCUUUCGGCUAAUACCCGGGAGGAGCGACAUCACCCACAGAAGAAGCACCGGCUAACUCCGUGCCAGCAGCCGCGGUAAUACGGAGGGUGCGAGCGUUAAUCGGAAUUACUGGGCGUAAAGCGCGCGUAGGCGGCGUGAUAAGCCGGUUGUGAAAGCCCCGGGCUCAACCUGGGAACGGCAUCCGGAACUGUCAGGCUAGAGUGCAGGAGAGGAAGGUAGAAUUCCCGGUGUAGCGGUGAAAUGCGUAGAGAUCGGGAGGAAUACCAGUGGCGAAGGCGGCCUUCUGGACUGACACUGACGCUGAGGUGCGAAAGCGUGGGUAGCAAACAGGAUUAGAUACCCUGGUAGUCCACGCCGUAAACGAUGUCGACUAGCCGUUGGGGUCCUCGAGACCUUUGUGGCGCAGUUAACGCGAUAAGUCGACCGCCUGGGGAGUACGGCCGCAAGGUUAAAACUCAAAUGAAUUGACGGGGGCCCGCACAAGCGGUGGAGCAUGUGGUUUAAUUCGAUGCAACGCGAAGAAUCUUUACC